rnacentral:rRNA from 1 species
AUGCCUUACGAUGAGCGGUACACACCGUACAUCAAGCAGGCAGGACUACUCCCGUGGAUUCUGUUGGUCAGCCGGUCCACGCCGAAUCUGAACGCUCCACUGGUGUCCGCUCUUGUUGAUCAGUGGAGGCCAGAGACCCACAGUUUCCAUCUUCGAACCGGGGAGAUGACCAUGACGCUCGAGGAUGUCUUGUUGAUCACCGGUCUUGCUAUCGACGGGAGGCCUCUAUGUAUGAGCAUCGAUUCUGAUGGGUGGCGCGAGCAGAUGAUUGCUCUUAUCGGUAUGGCUCCUACCGAGGCUGAGGAUGAUGUAGAGGAGGGAGAAGAGAAGAAGAAGAGGGAAAGGAAGGCAGCCGGAGCUGCUUUCACGUGGAUUCAAAAUAACUUUGCGACAUGCCCUCCGGAUGCAACUGAUGAUGUGAUCCAGACACAUGCUCGUGUGUAUAUGUGGUACAUUAUGUCGAGGACUUUGUUUCCUGACUCCACUAGCAAGAACGCUCCAUGGAUGUGGCUG